AUGCAAGUCGAACGGUAACAGGAAUUAGCUUGCUAAUUUGCUGACGAGUGGCGCACGGGUGCGUAACGCGCAUGCAAUCUACCUUGUACUGGAGUAUAGCCCACGGAAACUUGGAUUAAUCCUCCAUAGUGUAAUUGAGUGGCAUCGCUUAAUUAUUAAAGGUUACGGUACAAGAUGAGCAUGCGUCCCAUUAGCUAGUUGGUAUGGUAACGGCAUACCAAGGCAACGAUGGGUAGGGGUCCUGAGAGGGAGAUCCCCCACACUGGUACUGAGACACGGACCAGACUCCUACGGGAGGCAGCAGUGAGGAAUAUUGGACAAUGGUCGAAAGACUGAUCCAGCCAUGCCGCGUGCAGGAAGACUGCCCUAUGGGUUGUAAACUGCUUUUUUACGGGAAGAAUAAGGGUCACGUGUGAUCUGAUGACGGUACCGUAGGAAUAAGCACCGGCUAACUCCGUGCCAGCAGCCGCGGUAAUACGGAGGGUGCAAGCGUUAUCCGGAAUCAUUGGGUUUAAAGGGUCC
rnacentral:rRNA from 1 species